AUGGAGCAGAGCGAUGGGCCCAAGCGACCGAAGCUCGCCGACGCCGCCGACGGCGACGAGGACCGCCUCAGCGUGCUGCCCGACGACAUUCUCAUCCACAUCCUCGUCAAGCUCCGCGGCACCCCCAUGGCCGCUCGGACCAGCGUCCUCUGCCGCCGCUGGCGUGACCUCUGGAAACUCCUCCCGGAGCUCAACUUUCCCCUCGGCACCGAGCCGCACCGCAUACGCUCCGCCCUCACAGCCCACGAAGCGCCGGUCAUCCACUUCCUCGUCGUCGACCUCCAGGACGCCGCAGCGGAGUCGGUGGCGACGUGGGUCCCCAUCAUCGCGCCCCGCCUCUUCGGCGAACUAUUCAUCUUCAAUCUCAGGCGGGACUGGGAUGGGGAAACAGGCACGGUUGAGCUGCCUUGCUUCCAGGGUGCCGACUGGAUCUCCCUCGACCUAGACAAUCUUGGCCUCGCCUUGCCGCCCUCCGGCGUGUUUGCCUGGCUCACCGAUCUCUGUCUGGUAGCCGUUAGGAUGCGUGGUUCCUGCAGACUCGGUGACAUUGUCUCCUCGCCACGGUGCCCAUCGCUGCGGAAGCUCAUCCUACGCGACGCCCAGGUCCGGGCUGACAUUGUAAUCCACUCAGAGUCUCUCUUAGAAAUAGGGAUGGAUAAUGUGUUACUAGACCAUAACGCCUUGGGUCCGGGCAUCCUCGCCAUUUCCUCAGAGUCUGUCCUCCAAAUAGAUCUGAAGAAUUUAAUUGGCGUGCGGCAGCUCCUUGUCAUGGCGCCUGCACUCAUUUCAUUGAAAGAGAAAGACACCACCUACAUUGCUGAUCCUGUGGAUCCGAGUCAACCAGUUGCCAACAUCUCAGCCCCUCAGCUCACGUUGCUUGAGUGGAAUGCUCGUUAUGAUAGAAGAUCCGUUCAGCUUGGCAAGAUGGCACAUCUCCAAUGGCUGCACGCCGGUCAAUUUCUUGUAUAUGGAUCCGAUGAGGAUUUUGCACACAAUCGCAUCAGGCUUUUGCAGCGCUUCGAGUUCAUCAUCUGUCUUGACCUUGCGCUUUACUACCGAAAGGACAUGUCUGACCACCAACGCUACUUGAUGGAGGACAUGCCAAGGCUGCCAUAUAUUUUAUUCUUGUCCAUAAAUGUGGCGGCGAAUGAACAUUCCUUUGGAGCCAGCUUAUUCCAUGUUCUCAGGCUGUGUACUGGUGUAAGAAAGCUGACUCUUGCAUUUGAUGUCAGUACCAGGCAACUAGAGGCUCAAACUACAUGCUCACUGGGUUGCAUAUGCCAUCAGCCACCAAACUGGAAAACUGACGAACUCCUGCUGAGUCACCUCGUAAUAAUCGAAAUCAGUGCCUGGAGAGGAACUGAAAAUGAAGUUGCUUUUGUUGAACGGUUGCUUAAUUGGGCAACAGUGCUAAAAGAAAUGAUGAUAACUUUCCAUCAGUCAGUUACUGAAAGCAACGCCGAGGAUCUCUGCCAGACAUUACUAAGCUUCUCUAGGCCAGAAACUUGCAUGAAAUUUUACGUGUACCGUGGCUUGUACGCGAAGGUCCCAUAUGUUCCUGAAGGCUAA
rnacentral:rRNA from 1 species